GGGCACAUGGUGUAGUUGGUUAUCACGCUCGCUUAGCAUGUACUUCUAAUCUGCGAGAGGUGUUGGGUUCAAUUCCCAAUGUGUCCA